AGAGUUUGAUCCUGGCUCAGGAUGAACGCUGGCUGUAUGGAUAAGGCAUGCAAGUCGAACGGCCCGCAAGGGCAGUGGCAGACGAGGUAGUAACACGUACGAACGUACUCCCAAGUCGGGCAUAGCUCGCCGAAAGGCGGGGUAAUUCCCGAUAGUCCCUACGGGGUAAAGUUUUUCGCUUGGGAAGCGGCGUGCGCAGUAUCAGCUUGUUGGUAGUGUAACGGACUACCAAGGCUACGACGCUUAGGGGAGGUGAGAGCCUGACCCCCACCGAGGGAACUGAGACACGGUCCCUACUCCUACGGGAGGCCGCAGUCGAGAAUCUUCCGCAAUGGACGAAAGUCUGACGGAGCGAUACAGCGUGGUGGAUGAAGUGCUUUGGCACGUAAACACCUUUUAUGUGGGACGAAAUUAUUGACGGUACCACAUGAAUAAGGGGCUCCUAACUCUGUGCCAGCAGGAGCGGUAAUACAGAGGCCCCAAGCGUUAUCCGGAAUCACUGGGCGUAAAGGGUGUCGAGGCGGUCCUCGUUUUCCAAUGAAGCUGGAGCCAAUUUCCUGGAAGGUUCGGGACGAGCGCUGAGUGGUAAAUCUCCGAAGUGGUAGGGGUGGACAAUCCCGUUGGAUAUUCGUGGGGAACCACAAAGGCGAAAGGCCAGCGCACUUGGCCCAUUCCCUGACGCUCACACACGAAAGCCAGGGUAGCGAACGGGAUUAGAUACCCCGGGUAGUCCUGGCCCUAAACGCUGCUCGCUCGCUUUACGGAGUAUCGACCCUCUGUGAGGCUAAGCUAACGCGGUAAGCGAGCCGCCUGGGUAGUACGAGCGCAAGCUUAAAACUCAAAGGAAUAGACGGGGACUCGCACAAGUGGUGGAUCAUGUGGCUUAAUUCGUAGCUAAGCGAAGAACCUUACCAGGGCUAGAAACCAAGCUGCAUCCAACCCGAAAGGGAUGGAGCCUUCGAGGGUGCUUGGCAGGUGAUGCAUGGUCGUCGUCAGUUCGUGGCUUGAGCUGUUCCCUUCAGUGGGGUAACGAACGCAACCCUCGUUGUCUGUUAUAUAUGUCAGGCGAGACUGCCCCCUCACGGGGGAGGAAGGUGAGGAUGACGCCAGAUCAGCAUGUCCCUUGAUGCCCUGGGCUGCACACGUGAUACAAUGGCCGGUACAGAAGGACGCAAUACCGCAAGGUGGAGCAAAUCCCUAAAACCGACCCCAGUACGGAUCGAGGUCUGCAACUGACCUCGUGAAGCCGGAAUCGCUAGUAAUCGUAGGUCAGCCAUACUACGGUGAAUACGUUCUCGAGUCUUGUACUCACCGCCCGUCAACUCAAGGGAGUUGGGGGUGCCCGACAUCCUGUCUUGUACAGGACUACGGCAAACUCAAUGACAGGGAGUAAGUCGU
rnacentral:rRNA from 1 species